rnacentral:tRNA from 1 species
GGUCCUGUAGCUCAGUCGGUAGAGCAACGGACUGAAAAUCCGUGUGUCGCCAGUUCAAUUCUGGCUGGGACCACCA